GACCGAGAAGCCGCUGAGUGGGCCAGUGGGACCUGGGUCCGGACCGAGAAGCCGCUGAGUGGGCCAGUGGGACCUGGGUCCGGACCGAGAAGCCGCUGAGUGGGCCAGUGGGACCUGGGUCCGGACCCAGAAGCCUGCUCUGCUUGCAGUGGAUAACUUUCUUUCUGAAGUUCAUUUUCCAAGGACAAAGGGAUCAUUAGGACAAAGUAUUAUUACUGCUUCAUGGUGGAGAUGCUUCUGGUUUAUGUUGUGGCUGCCGCUGUUACUGCUUGGAGUGCCUCACCAAGCCGGCUAACAACUGCCCCACGUGCCCUUCAGGAUGCAAAGUCCUCUUCUCUAAAGUGCCUGCCGGGCCAGGUGCAGUGGCUCACGCCUGACCUCCCAACACUUUGGGAGGCCGAGGCGGGGGAAUCACUUGAGCACAGGAGUUUGAGACCAGCCUGGGCAACAUUGUGAGCCCCUGUUCCUUGAAUUGCCCUGGGAGAUUUCCUCAGCUUGUGCUGGCGGCAUGUGGCCCCAUGAAGCCCGUAGUCACUGUCCACCCUGAGGGACGCUGGCUUUGGGGCUCACACGCCUGCUGCGGGGCAGCCGCAGGAGAUGGCCGCCCUGUUCCUCCCUGGAGCUGGAGCUGCAGUGUGUUCUCAGCAGCUGUGGUGGCUGUUCUGUUUUGUUUGCAUCUUAUAAACCGUUUACCUGAUUACAGCUUCCUCUUCAAUUUAGCUGCUAGAAAAUUUAAAGUCCGGUUGGCGGCUCGCCAGUAAUGAGAGUUUAGAGUGGAGGUAAACUUUAUGACAGAGUCUUAGACCUCUUCACUUUCUCCUCAGCCAACAUGGUUAACAUUUACUGUAUUUUGCUGUACUGUGUCUUUGUGUUUCCUGAGUUCCUUCUGGAAUAAGGCAGGUCAUUAGUAAGCGCAGGUUUCUGGUCGUCUCACAGCCUCAGGCAGUGGGCGGUGCUGUUCGUGCUCCCUUUCCGGUUGCCUGUGGUAGCUCUCAAGUUGCAGGGCUGCGAUUUGAAGACUGAUUUAGUGCACCGUGUUUCUGUCGUGUUCUGUGGUG